rnacentral:rRNA from 1 species
GAUCAUGGCUCAGGAUGAACGCUGGCGGCGUGCUUAACACAUGCAAGUCGAGCGAAGCAGUUAAGAAGAUUCUUCGGAUGAUUCUUGAUUGACUGAGCGGGCGGACGGGUGAGUAACGCGUGGGUGACCUGCCCCAUACCGGGGGAUAACAGCUGGAAACGGCUGCUAAUACCGCAUAAGCGCACAGAGCUGCAUGGCUCGGUGUGAAAAACUCCGGUGGUAUGGGAG